rnacentral:rRNA from 1 species
CCUACGGGAGGCAGCAGUGAGGAAUAUUGGUCAAUGGACGCAAGUCUGAACCAGCCAUGCCGCGUGCAGGAUGACGGCUCUAUGAGUUGUAAACUGCUUUUGUACGAGGGUAAACCCCGAUACGUGUAUCGGGUGGAAAGUAUCGUGCGAAUUAGGAUCGGCUAACUCCGUGCCAGCAGCCGCGGUAAUACGGAGGAUCGGAGCGUUAUCCGGAUUUAUUGGGUUUAAAGGGUUCGUAGGCGGUUUGAUAAGUUAGAGGGGAAAUGUCGGGGCUCAACCCCGGAACUGCCGCUAAUACUGUUGGACUAGAGAAUAGGAGCGGUAGGCGGAAUGUAUGGUGUAGCGGUGAAAUGCUUAGAGAUCAUACAGAACACCGAUUGCGAAGGCAGCUUACCAGACUAUAUCUGACGUUGAGGCACGAAAGCGUGGGGAGCAAACAGGAUUAGAUACCCUUGUAGUC